GCCGAACACUGGCGGCGUGCCUAAUACAUGCAGGUCGACCUUAGUAGCGAACGGGUGAGUAACACGUGGGUAACCUGCCCAUCUGCAGGGGAUAACACUUGGAAACAGGUGCUAAUACCGUAUCCCGAUGGCUGGGCCCGCGGGGCAUUCGCUAGUUGGGGAGGUAACGGCUCACCAAGGCCACGAUGCAUAGCCGACCUGAGAGGGUGAUCGGCCACAUUGGGACUGAGACACUGCCCAAACUCCUACGGGAGGCAGCAGUAGGGAAUCUUCGGCAAUGGACGAAAGUCUGACCGAGCAACGCCGCGUGAGUGAAGAAGGUUUUCGGAUCGUAAAACUCUGUUGUUAGAGAAGCGGUAUCUAACCAGAAAGCCACGGCUAACUACGUGCCAGCAGCCGCGGUAAUAC
rnacentral:rRNA from 1 species